rnacentral:rRNA from 1 species
AGUGGAUGGGGAGCAACCUAGUUGUGCGUGUGUAAAGGUAGUGCCAAGAAAAGCGAUGAUCAUGUUGAAAAUCAAUUCCCGGUACCCGAAACCGACACAGGUGGGCAAGUAGAGAAUACUAAGGGGCGCGAGGUAACUCUCUCCAAGGAACUCGGCAAAAUGACCCCGUAACUUAGGGAGAAGGGGUGCCACCGAGAGGUGGUCGCAGUGAAGAGGCCCAGGCGACUGUUUAGCAAAAACAUAGGUCUCUGCAAACUCGAAAGAGGAGGUAUAGGGGCUGACGCCUGCCCAGUGCCGGAAGGUUGAAGAAGUUGGUCAGUCUUAGGAUGAAGCUAGCGACUGAAGCCCCGGUGAACGGCGGCCGUAACUAUAACGGUCCUAAGGUAGCGAAAUUCCUUGUCGGGUAAGUUCCGACCCGCACGAAAGGCGUAACGAUCUGGGCGCUGUCUCGGAGAGAGGCUCGGCGAAAUAGGAUUGUCUGUGAAGAUACGGACUACCUGCAUUUGGACAGAAAGACCCUAUGAAGCUUUACUAUAGCUUGGAAUUGUGUUCGGGCUUCCUGUGCGCAGGAUAGGUGGGAGGCGUAGAAGGUAUUCUUGUGGGGAUACUGGAGCCAACGGUGAGAUACCACUCUCAGGAGGCUAGAAUUCUAACUUAAUUAAGGACAGUUUCAGGUGGGUAGUUUGACUGGGGCGGUCGCCCCCAAAAAGGUAACGGAGGCGUACAAAGGUUCCCUCAGACUGGUUGGAAAUCAGUCGAAGAGUGCAAAGGCAGAAGGGAGCUUGACUGCGAGAAGUACAGUUCGAGCAGGGUGGAAACACGGUCUUAGUGAUCCGACGGUGCUGUGUGGAAGGGCCGUCGUUCAACGGAUAAAAGUUACUCUAGGAUAACAGGCUGAUCUCCCCCAAGAGUUCACAUCGACGGGGAGGUUUGCCACCUCGAUGUCGGCUCAUCGCAACCUGGGGCGGAAGUACGUCCCAAGGGUUGGGCUGUUCGCCCAUUAAAGCGGUACGUGAGCUGGGUUCAGAACGUCGUGAGACAGUUCGGUCCAUAUCCGAUGUAGGCGUGAGAAUAUUGAGAGGAGCCUUCCUUAGUACGAGAGGACCGGGAAGGACGCACCGCUGGUGUACCUGUUAUGAUGCCAAUUGUAAACGCAGGGUAGCCAAGUGCGGAGAGGAUAACCGCUGAAAGCAUCUAAGUGGGAAGCCCACCUCAAGAUGAGUAUUCUGGUGUAAGGUCACGGGAAGACGACCCGUAAAUAGGCACGAGGUGGAAGUGCAGAGAUGUAUGAAGCCGAAGUGUACUAAUAGACCGUCGGCUU